rnacentral:rRNA from 1 species
UGUUUAGUUUUUGUGGGCAUUCGGUGGAUGCCUUGGUACCAAGAGCUGAUGAAGGACGUGGCGGCCUGCGAUAAUCCUUGGGGAGUUGGCGAGCGAGCGUUGAUCUGAGGGUGUCCGAAUGGGGGAACCUGGCUGGGGUUGUGCCUGGUCACUAUCAUCUGAAUUCAUAGGGUGGUAGGGGGAACGCGGGGAAGUGAAACAUCUUAGUACCCGUAGGAGAAGAUAUUUCGUCAGUAGUGGUGAGCGAAAGCGGAUGAUGGCUAAACCGUGUGCGUGUGUGACUCGGCGGGGGUUGCGUGUGCGGGGUUGUGGGGCUCUUUUUUCUCAUCUUCUGCCGGGGGUGGGGGUGUGUGCGUGUGCGUGUGGUGAACAUCUUGGGAUGGGUGACCGUAGUGCGUGAUAGUCGUGUAGCUGUGUGUGUGCGUGUGUGCUGAAGGGGUGCCCGAGUAGUGCGGGGCUCGUGGAAUCUCGUGUGAAUCUGCCAGGACCACCUGGUAAGCCUGAAUACUUUUUGGUGACCGAUAGUGCAUAGUACCGUGAGGGAAUGGUGAAAAGUACCCCGGGAGGGGAGUGAAAUAGUGCCUGAAACCGGGUGCCUGUAAGCCGUCAGAGCCUGCUUUUGUUGGGUGAUGGCGUGCCUUUUGAAGAAUGAGCCUGCGAGUCAGUGAUGCGUGGCGUGCUUAACCCGUGUGGGGGAUGCGUAGCGAAAGCGAGUCUUAAUUUUGGGCGUGUGUCGCGUGUUGUGGACCCGAAGCGGGGUGAUCUACCUAUGGUCAGGGUGAAGCUAUGGUAAGACGUGGUGGAGGCCCGUACCCACCAGGGUUGAAAACCUGGGGGAUGAACUGUGGGUAGGGGUGAAAGGCCAAUCAAACUCCGUGAUAGCUGGUUCUCCCCGAAAUGCAUUUAGGUGCAGCGUCACACUGGGCUUGGUGGAGGUAGAGCUACUGGUUGGUUGAUGGGCCGUGUUGGUUACUGACGUCAGCUAAACUCCGAAUGCCAUUUCAAGUGGGUGUGGCAGUGAGACUGCGGGGGAUAAGCUUCGUGGUCGAGAGGGAAACAGCCCAGAUCAUCGGCUAAGGCCCCUAAGCGUGCGCUGAGUGGGAAAGGAUGUGGAGUCGCGUUGACAGCCAGGAGGUUGGCUUAGAAGCAGCCAUCCUUGAAAGAGUGCGUAAUAGCUCACUGGUCGAGUGGUUGUGCGCCGAUAAUGUAGCGGGGCUUAAGCGUGCCGCCGAAGCCGUGGCAAUAACUUUUUGUUUUUGGGUAGGGGAGCGUCCUGCUCUGGGUGAAGCUGCCUGGUGAUGGGUGGUGGACGGGGUGGGAGUGAGAAUGCAGGCAUGAGUAGCGUUUCGUGGGUGAGAAUCCUACGCGCUGAUUGACUAAGGGUUCCAGGGGCAGGUUUGUCCGCCCUGGGUUAGUCGGGUCCUAAGGCGAGGCCGACAGGCGUAGUCGAUGGGUGACCAGUUGAUAUUCUGGUACCGUUUGUUUUCCGUCUGACGCUGCAUGCUUUCGCGUCGUGUGCUUGCCGUGCGUGGUGUUGUCUUUCGGGAUGAUGCUGAGUGUGGCUGUGUGUGGUGUGGGGUGUGUGGUGAGCAUUGGGGUGACGCAGGGAGGUAGUUGCUGCACACUGGUGGUUAUGUGUGUCUAAGGUUGUGGCCUGUUUCUUGGGUGAAAUCCGGGAAGCUGCGUUUGAUCGCGUGGGUGAGGGCUGAUGGGGCUGCCUGUUGGGGUGGCUAGUGGUGAUCCUGUACUGCCGAGAAAAGCCUGGAUGUGAGGAAGAUGAGCGCCCGUACCCUAAACCGACUCUGGUGGUCAGGUAGAGUAUACCGAGGCGUGCGAGUGAAUCAUGGUUAAGGAAUUCGGCAAAUUGCCCCCGUAACUUUGGGAUAAGGGGGGCCCUGCUGGUGUGCCUGCUUUUGCGUGGGUGGUGCUGGUUGGGGUCGCAGAGAAUUGGGAGAAGCGACUGUUUAUUAAAAACAUAGGAGCCCCAGUAAACGGCGGUGGUAACUAUAACCAUCCUAAGGUAGCGAAAUUCCUUGUCGGGUAAGUUCCGACCUGCACGAAUGGCGUAACGACUUCUCCGCUGUCUCGACCGUGAUCUCGGUGAAAUUGCAGUACGUGUAAAGAUGCUCGUUUCGCGCAGCAGGACGGAAAGACCCCGGGACCUUUACUAUAGCUUGGUAUUGGUGUGUGUUUGUGCUUGUGUAGGAUAGGUGGGAGACUGUGAUGCCGUGCCGCUAGGUGUGGUGGAGUCGUUGGUGAAAUACCAUUCUGGUUCAAGUAUGCAUCUAACUUGGAGCCCUGAUCGGGUUUGGGGACAGUGCCUGGUGGGUAGUUUAACUGGGGCGGUUGCCUCCUAAAGGGUAACGGAGGCGCUCAAAGGUUCUCUCAGCCUGGUUGGUGAUCAGGUGGUGAGUGUAAGUGCACAAGAGGGCUUGACUGUGACACUGACGGGUGGAGCAGGUACGAAAGUAGGAACUAGUGAUCCGGCCAUGGCUUGUGGAAGCGUGGUCGCUCAACGGAUAAAAGGUACCCCGGGGAUAACAGGCUGAUCUUGCCCAAGAGUCCAUAUCGACGGCAUGGUUUGGCACCUCGAUGUCGGCUCGUCGCAUCCUGGGGCUGGAGUUGGUCCCAAGGGUUGGGCUGUUCGCCCAUUAAAGCGGUACGCGAGCUGGGUUUAGAACGUCGUGAGACAGUUCGGUCCCUAUCCGCUGCGCGCGUUGGAAACUUGAUGAAGGCCCGUCCCUAGUACGAGAGGACCGGGAUGGACGAACCUCUGGUGUGCCAGUUGUACUGCCAGGUGCAUUGCUGGUUGGCUACGUUCGGUUGGGAUAACCGCUGAAAGCAUCUAAGCGGGAAGCUUUCUUCGAGAUGAGGUUUCCGUGCCCCUCUUUUUGGGGGGUGGGAGGUCCCCAGUAGAUGACUGGGUUGAUAGGCCAGAGGUGGAAGCAUUGUGAGGUGUUGUGAGCCGACUGGUACUAAUGGGCCGAUUCUAAACCAA